UACGAGGGGUGCAAACGUUGCUCGGAAUCAUUGGGCGUAAAGCGCACGUAGGCGGUCUGUCAAGUCGGAUGUGAAAGCCCUCGGCUCAACCGAGGAAGUGCAUUCGAAACUGCCAGACUUGAGUAUGGAAGAGGGUCGCGGAAUUCCCGGUGUAGAGGUGAAAUUCGUAGAUAUCGGGAGGAACACCAGUGGCGAAGGCGGCGACCUGGGCCAAUACUGACGCUGAGGUGCGAAAGCGUGGGGAGCAAACAGG
rnacentral:rRNA from 1 species